CCUACGGGUGGCAGCAGUGAGGAAUAUUGGUCAAUGGACGAGAGUCUGAACCAGCCAAGUAGCGUGAAGGAUGACUGCCCUAUGGGUUGUAAACUUCUUUUAUAAAGGAAUAAAACGAGGCACGUGUGCCUUUUUGUAUGUACUUUAUGAAUAAGGAUCGGCUAACUCCGUGCCAGCAGCCGCGGUAAUACGGAGGAUCCGAGCGUUAUCCGGAUUUAUUGGGUUUAAAGGGAGCGUAGAUGGGUUGUUAAGUCAGUUGUGAAAGUUUGCGGCUCAACCGUAAAAUUGCAAUUGAUACUGGCAGUCUUGAGUACAGUUGAGGUAGGCGGAAUUCGUGGUGUAGCGGUGAAAUGCUUAGAUAUCACGAAGAACCCCGAUUGCGAAGGCAGCUUACUAAACUGUGACUGACAUUGAUGCUCGAAAGUGUGGGUAUCAAACAGGAGUAGAUACCCGUGUAGUC
rnacentral:rRNA from 1 species